rnacentral:rRNA from 1 species
AUUGAACGCUGGCGGUAUGCUUAAGACAUGCAAGUCGUGCGGUAGGGGCUUCGGCCCUGAGAGCGGCGGACGGGUGAGUAACGCGUGGGAAUCUGCCUGCUAGUGGGGGAUAGCCCGGAGAAAUCCGGAUUAAUACCGCAUACGCCCUAAGGGGGAAAGCCGCAAGGCGCUAGUAGAUGAGCUCGCGUAAGAUUAGCUAGUUGGUGAGGUAAAGGCUCACCAAGGCGACGAUCUUUAGCUGGUCUGAGAGGAUGGCCAGCCACAUCGGGACUGAGACACGGCCCGGACUCCUACGGGAGGCAGCAGUCGGGAAUAUUGGACAAUGGGCGCAAGCCUGAUCCAGCAAUACCGCGUGUGUGAAGAAGGCCUGCGGGUUGUAAAGCACUUUCAGUUGGGAAGAUAAUGACGUUACCAACAGAAGAAGCACCGGCU